CCCGAUGCUGUCCCGGCCUCGGCCCCGCCUCCUCCUGCUCCUCCUUCCCCUAGCCGAGGGGCGGUACGGAGCCGCCCGGGGAGUGUAGCGGGGCUUCUGAGGGGGUAUCAUGGCGCCGGUCAGGGACUGCAAGGCCUGGGAGGAUGCUGGUCUUUCCCUGUCCACAACUAGCAAUGGAGCCUGUAAACUAUUUGAUGCUGCGCUGACCCAGUAUGCAACCUGGAGCAAUAAUGAGAGCCUUGGAGGUAUUGAGGGGUGUCUCUCAAAAUUAAAAGCAGCAGAUCCAAAUUUUAACUUCUAGGACCAAGUUUAUCCUUUCUGGAAACCUGGUAAUCCAGUAAGCAGAAGACAGAGAACAGACUGAAUGCUGAAAUAAUAGUGAAGCUAACUGAGGUACCCCACAACUGCAGCACAGCAUCGUGACAGGAGCCUUGGUUGGGGAAAAAAAAGGUAAAGAAAAAAAAAAUCACCUGUAUUUCAAUCCAGAAAAUAAAUCAGUUGCAAC